ACGACCUUACUUGAACAGGAUCUGUUCUAUAGGCUCGUACCGCUGCAUCCUUUACCAAUAAGGAGGCAAGCACUUCAGUCUGGUUGAUGCAUUCUGACCUGUGGGCCAGAGCGUGAUUAACGGCCAGGAUUUCCCUGAUGGGGCAAUCCGACAGCUGUAGAGGAUCGUUCCUGCCUGGCUCUCACACCUGUGCAGGGUGGCCCAGAGGUUGUCUGACAGACU
rfam:Triticum aestivum genome assembly, contig: Triticum_aestivum_CS42_TGACv1_scaffold_375969_5AL